GGGGCUGUAGCUCAGUUGGGAGAGCGCUUGAAUGGCAUUCAAGAGGUCAGGGGUUCGACUCCCCUCAGCUCCACCA
rnacentral:tRNA from 10 species